ACUAAGCGUACACGGUGGAUGCCCUGGCAGUCAGAGGCGAUGAAGGACGUGCUAAUCUGCGAUAAGCGUCGGUAAGGUGAUAUGAACCGUUAUAACCGGCGAUUUCCGAAUGGGGAAACCCAGUGUGAUUCGUCACACUAUCAUUAACUGAAUCCAUAGGUUAAUGAGGCGAACCGGGGGAACUGAAACAUCUAAGUACCCCGAGGAAAAGAAAUCAACCGAGAUUCCCCCAGUAGCGGCGAGCGAACGGGGAGCAGCCCAGAGCCUGAAUCAGUGUGUGUGUUAGUGGAAGCGUCUGGAAAGGCGCGCGAUACAGGGUGACAGCCCCGUACACAAAAAUGCACAUGCUGUGAGCUCGAUGAGUAGGGCGGGACACGUGGUAUCCUGUCUGAAUAUGGGGGGACCAUCCUCCAAGGCUAAAUACUCCUGACUGACCGAUAGUGAACCAGUACCGUGAGGGAAAGGCGAAAAGAACCCCGGCGAGGGGAGUGAAAAAGAACCUGAAACCGUGUACGUACAAGCAGUGGGAGCACGCUUAGGCGUGUGACUGCGUACCUUUUGUAUAAUGGGUCAGCGACUUAUAUUCUGUAGCAAGGUUAACCGAAUAGGGGAGCCGAAGGGAAACCGAGUCUUAACUGGGCGUUAAGUUGCAGGGUAUAGACCCGAAACCCGGUGAUCUAGCCAUGGGCAGGUUGAAGGUUGGGUAACACUAACUGGAGGACCGAACCGACUAAUGUUGAAAAAUUAGCGGAUGACUUGUGGCUGGGGGUGAAAGGCCAAUCAAACCGGGAGAUAGCUGGUUCUCCCCGAAAGCUAUUUAGGUAGCGCCUCGUGAAUUCAUCUCCGGGGGUAGAGCACUGUUUCGGCAAGGGGGUCAUCCCGACUUACCAACCCGAUGCAAACUACGAAUACCGGAGAAUGUUAUCACGGGAGACACACGGCGGGUGCUAACGUCCGUCGUGAAGAGGGAAACAACCCAGACCGCCAGCUAAGGUCCCAAAGUCAUGGUUAAGUGGGAAACGAUGUGGGAAGGCCCAGACAGCCAGGAUGUUGGCUUAGAAGCAGCCAUCAUUUAAAGAAAGCGUAAUAGCUCACUGGUCGAGUCGGCCUGCGCGGAAGAUGUAACGGGGCUAAACCAUGCACCGAAGCUGCGGCAGCGACGCUGAUGCGUUGUUGGGUAGGGGAGCGUUCUGUAAGCCUGCGAAGGUGUGCUGUGAGGCAUGCUGGAGGUAUCAGAAGUGCGAAUGCUGACAUAAGUAACGAUAAAGCGGGUGAAAAGCCCGCUCGCCGGAAGACCAAGGGUUCCUGUCCAACGUUAAUCGGGGCAGGGUGAGUCGACCCCUAAGGCGAGGCCGAAAGGCGUAGUCGAUGGGAAACAGGUUAAUAUUCCUGUACUUGGUGUUACUGCGAAGGGGGGACGGAGAAGGCUAUGUUGGCCGGGCGACGGUUGUCCCGGUUUAAGCGUGUAGGCUGGUUUUCCAGGCAAAUCCGGAAAAUCAAGGCUGAGGCGUGAUGACGAGGCACUACGGUGCUGAAGCAACAAAUGCCCUGCUUCCAGGAAAAGCCUCUAAGCAUCAGGUAACAUCAAAUCGUACCCCAAACCGACACAGGUGGUCAGGUAGAGAAUACCAAGGCGCUUGAGAGAACUCGGGUGAAGGAACUAGGCAAAAUGGUGCCGUAACUUCGGGAGAAGGCACGCUGAUAUGUAGGUGAAGCGACUUGCUCGUGGAGCUGAAAUCAGUCGAAGAUACCAGCUGGCUGCAACUGUUUAUUAAAAACACAGCACUGUGCAAACACGAAAGUGGACGUAUACGGUGUGACGCCUGCCCGGUGCCGGAAGGUUAAUUGAUGGGGUUAGCGCAAGCGAAGCUCUUGAUCGAAGCCCCGGUAAACGGCGGCCGUAACUAUAACGGUCCUAAGGUAGCGAAAUUCCUUGUCGGGUAAGUUCCGACCUGCACGAAUGGCGUAAUGAUGGCCAGGCUGUCUCCACCCGAGACUCAGUGAAAUUGAACUCGCUGUGAAGAUGCAGUGUACCCGCGGCAAGACGGAAAGACCCCGUGAACCUUUACUAUAGCUUGACACUGAACAUUGAGCCUUGAUGUGUAGGAUAGGUGGGAGGCUUUGAAGUGUGGACGCCAGUCUGCAUGGAGCCGACCUUGAAAUACCACCCUUUAAUGUUUGAUGUUCUAACGUGGACCCGUAAUCCGGGUUGCGGACAGUGUCUGGUGGGUAGUUUGACUGGGGCGGUCUCCUCCUAAAGAGUAACGGAGGAGCACGAAGGUUGGCUAAUCCUGGUCGGACAUCAGGAGGUUAGUGCAAUGGCAUAAGCCAGCUUGACUGCGAGCGUGACGGCGCGAGCAGGUGCGAAAGCAGGUCAUAGUGAUCCGGUGGUUCUGAAUGGAAGGGCCAUCGCUCAACGGAUAAAAGGUACUCCGGGGAUAACAGGCUGAUACCGCCCAAGAGUUCAUAUCGACGGCGGUGUUUGGCACCUCGAUGUCGGCUCAUCACAUCCUGGGGCUGAAGUAGGUCCCAAGGGUAUGGCUGUUCGCCAUUUAAAGUGGUACGCGAGCUGGGUUUAGAACGUCGUGAGACAGUUCGGUCCCUAUCUGCCGUGGGCGCUGGAGAACUGAGGGGGGCUGCUCCUAGUACGAGAGGACCGGAGUGGACGCAUCACUGGUGUUCGGGUUGUCAUGCCAAUGGCACUGCCCGGUAGCUAAAUGCGGAAGAGAUAAGUGCUGAAAGCAUCUAAGCACGAAACUUGCCCCGAGAUGAGUUCUCCCUGACUCCUUGAGAGUCCUGAAGGAACGUUGAAGACGACGACGUUGAUAGGCCGGGUGUGUAAGCGCAGCGAUGCGUUGAGCUAACCGGUACUAAUGAACCGUGAGGCUUAACC
rnacentral:rRNA from 1 species